GAUCAUGGCUCAGGACGAACGCUGGCGGCGCGCCUAACACAUGCAAGUCGAACGAGAGAUGAAGAGCUUGCUCUUCAAAUCGAGUGGCGAACGGGUGAGUAACGCGUGAGGAACCUGACCUCAAAGAGGGGGACAACAGUUGGAAACGACUGCUAAUACCGCAUAAGCCCACGGCUCGGCAUCGAGCAGAGGGAAAAGGAGUGAUCCGCUUUGAGAUGGCCUCGCGUCCGAUUAG
rnacentral:rRNA from 1 species